AUCACUAAGCGGAGGAAAAGAAACUAACAAGGAUUCCCUUAGUAGCGGCGAGCGAACCGGGAGAAGCCCAGCUUGAAAAUCGCGUCGUUCCGCGGCGCGAGUUGUAGUCUGGAGAAGUGUCCUCUGCGGCGGACCCGGCCUAAGUCCCCUGGAAAGGGGCGUCAGAGAGGGUGAGAACCCCGUCGGGCCGGGACCCUGCCGCUCCACGAGGCGCUGUCUACGAGUCGGGCUGUUUGGGAAUGCAGCCCUAAGUGGGAGGUAAAUUCCUUCCAAGGCUAAAUACAGGCGAGAGACCGAUAGCGAACAAGUACCGCGAGGGAAAGAUGAAAAGGACUUUGAAAAGAGAGUUAAAAAGUGCUUGAAAUUGCUGGGAGGGAAGCGAAUGGAGGCCUCGUGUGCGCCCCGGUCGGAUGCGGAACGGCGCGAGCUGGUCCGCUGCUCGACGCGGGGCGCUGGUCGACGUGGGCUCUUCGGCGGGACAAAAGUCGGCCUUUAGUGGCCGGCCGAUGCCGUCGGAGGGGCCGAGGAACGAAGUGCGCGCCUCCGGGGCGGGCUCCUCUUCGCGGGGGAGCACCUGCGCACUCGGGACGUCGGCGUAGUGGGCUU
rnacentral:rRNA from 1 species